CCAGUCGGUAAUAAUAAGAAAAUUUGAAAGCCUAAGAUUCCACUAAAAAUUAAAUUCUUCUUGUGGUAUCUUCGGAGGGAAGUUGUACUAACCAAAGACAACCCUGCCCAUUAUUACUGGCAAGGAAGCAAGAAGUGUAUGUUUUGUAAUCAUGAUGAUACAAUCAAUCACCUAUUUUUUAGUGCAAUUUGUGUGUUCUACCUGGUCACACAUCCAAAUAGCAUCCAAUUUGUAUCUGCCCACAAGUGUUGCAACGUUUCUGUCAUUGGUUUCGACGGUAUUCUAAAUAGGUUCCGAACGCUAAUAAGUGUGGGAGCGUAUGUCUUAUUGUGGUCGCUUGGGUUAUGCAGAAGUGAUUUGCUUUUUAUUGGCAAAAACUCAACUUUGCAAGUUAUUUUUCCGCCAUACGCACUCGCUUCAUACGUGGUCUAUGCUACCGGAACGGAAUAUCAACCAUUGGAGCGGGUGACCAGAGAGAUUGUUACUAAAUAUAAGUGGAGUAUAAUCUUCUGA
rnacentral:rRNA from 1 species